AUUCGGCUUGUUCUUACUUUACCGGUUUCAACGGCAACUACAGAACGUGCAUUUUCUGCCAUGAAACUUGUGAAGACAAGGCUUCGGAAUAAAAUGGAAGAUGGAUUUCUAAGGGACUGCUUGCUAAUUUAUAUUGAAAAGGAGAUUGCUGUUGGAAUAUCAACAGAUGCAAUUAUAGAUGAGUUCGAUGAACCACCACGUCGAGUGCCAUUUAGUUGAAGGCUUGGAGCAAGUUAGUUUCUCUAUCUUCUAUUAUCUAGAUUUUUCUUUUGUGUGAUGUACCAUUGAAAAAUUGCAUAUCCUUUUGUAUCAACGGUGAAUGGUGGUGUAAUCAAUGAAAAAUAUCAUGCUAUUACAUCUGCCUCACUGUUUUUUUGUUUAAAAAUUUGUACGAAAGUGUUGCUGCCUUCAGUCGGCCCGUGUUAUACAUUUUUCCUGGCUCCGCCACUUGGGGUGAAGGAAGAAUUAGUGCGUGCCAAGACGAUCGAAGGCCGAGCUAGCGCGAACGAAGACGAAGACAGAAUCAACGCUCUCCCCGACGACAUUCUUCUCCAGAUCCUCGACCACCUUGAUCUGCGCACGGAGAUUCAGGCCAGCGUGCUCUCUAGAUGGUGGAGGCACCUCCCUCAACCCUCAUCAGCUGUCUUGUCUGCUCAUGAACGUGGCCGACUUUUUUUGCAUAGCAUAGCAUGCGUAUCAUUUUAUCUACUACCCCUAUAAAAGCACGAGAGGGCGGAGAACCAAAUCAUCCUAUCCGUUGAAACUUGCAAUCUGAUGGUCCAAAUGGCUCCAAUCUAUCAAACGUGUUUUACACUUUAAUUACCCACCAAUGCCACUCCACGUUUCCACUAACCCACCGAUCCCACGCUAAUCCAUCCGUACCCCUUCGUCGUCCUAGAAUACAUGAGCACGAUGCCACGAUCCACAUGCCAUCCCUCCCCUAUUGCUGCCGCCAACCGCUCGGAGGGUCACCGAUCACCGCUCCUCCACUCUGCCGCCCCGCCACCGCCCCAUGCCGUCGCCACACCCCUAUGAGCGCUCGCAUCUGCUUAAGCGUGGGUCGUGGUCUCGCCGCCAGCCGAUUCUCCGCUGGGCCGAGGCUUAAUCUGCUUAAGAGUGGGUUGCGGGAGGUGUGUCUCCGUCCGAGUGACUGCACCGCCGAGGCAGCAGCGGUCGUCCAGGCCGCCACCUAGGAACCACGGCCCUUCUCCGCAGACCCGCCAGCAUGGGCUGCCGCCCAGGCUCCACGACGACGACGACGGAGAACAAGGUACGCCAGGGAGGCGAGGCCCUGCUGGCGCACCCAGUCGCCACCACCAGGGCCGCGGGCCGCCGAGAGGCUUAGCCGAGCGGCCGCCGUCCAGGGAGCAAUCCAGACGCGCGCCGCCGGCAGGCAUGGCCCGCUCGCCCGACGCUCUGCGGCUGGAUGAGAAUUUCGACGAUGAGGCAGGGUAUAGGGACUAUGACAACGAGGAGGCUGAGGGGGAGGGGGAGGUUCACUGGGGGAAAAUGGUCGGGCGACGCCAUGCCCAAGCCACCCGUUGGCUUCGUCCUUGACGACCAUGGCCAGUGCAUCGCUCCCGCCUCCAAGCGCAUCGUCACCCUCGUCAGGUGCUCCACAUCCAGUUUUCUCCUAGCUAGCAGUUCAUACUUGAAAUGCAUUAUCCAAGUUCAUCUUGCAAAUUUGUGCAGAUUGAUGACGCGAACAAUAGUCCAUUGGAGUGCAUAAUCGGGAGGGUGUUCAGCAGUACGUAGGAUCAUGAGUGCUUUCUUCUCUGCCCGGUCGACUGUGAUUAACCACACUCUACAAAUUAGUUGCAAACUUGCAGUGUUCAUUAGUGAUUUCCCUCUCCUAUGAUUACUUAUUUCGUGCCUGUGCAGGUGCUCAAGAGCACAAACUUCAGUGGCUGGAUCGCUAUAUCUACUACCCCUAUAAAAGCACGAGAGGGCGGAGAACCAAAUCAUCCUAUCCGUUGAAACUUGCAAUCUCAUGGUCCAAAUGGAUUCAAUCUAUCAAACGUGUUUUACACUUUAAUUACCCACCAAUGCCACUCCACGUUUCCACUAACCCACCGAUCCCACGCUAAUCCAUCCGUACCCCUUCGUCGUCCUAGAAUACAUGAGCACGAUGCCACGAUCCACAUGCCAUCCCUCCCCUAUUGCUGCCGCCAACCGCUCGGAGGGUCACCGAUCACCGCUCCUCCACUCCGCCGCCCCGCCACCGCCCCAUGUCGUCGCCACACCCCUAUGAGCGCUCGCAUCUGCUUAAGCGUGGGUCGCGGUCUCGCCGCCAGCCGAUUCUCCGCUGGGCCGAGUCUUAAUUUGCUUAAGAGUGGGUUGCGGGAGGUGUGUCUCCGUCCGAGUGACUGCACCGCCAAGGCAGCAGCGGUCGUCAAGGCCGCCACCCAGGAACCACGGCCCUCCUCCGCAGACCCGCCAGCAUUGGCUGCCGCCCAGGCUCCACGACGACGACGGCGAAGAACAAGGUACGCCAGGGAGGCGAGGCCCUGCUGGGGCACCCAGUCGCCACCACCAGGGCCGCGGGCCGCCGAGAGGCUUAGCCGAGCGGCCGCCGUCCAGGGAGCAAUCCAGACGCGCGCCGCCGGCAGGCAUGCCCGCUCGCCCGACGCUCUGCGGCUGGAUGAGAAUUUCGACGAUGAGGCAGGGUAUAGGGACUAUGACAACGAGGAGGCUGAGGGGGAGGGGGAGGUUCACUGGGGGGAACAUGGUCGGGCGACGCCAUACCCAAGCCACCCGCUGGCUUCGUCCUUGACGACCAUGGCCAGUGCAUCGCUCCCGCCUCCAAGCGCAUCAUCACCCUCGUCAGGUGCUCCACAUCCAGUUUUCUCCUAGCUAGCAGUUCAUACUUGAAAUGCAUUAUCCAAGUUCAUCUUGCAAAUUUGUGCAGAUUGAUGACGCGAACAAUAGUCCAUUGGAGUGCAUAAUCGGGAGGGUGUUCAGCAGUACGUAGGAUCAUGAGUGCUUUCUUCUCUGCCCGGUCGACUGUGAUUAACCACACUCUACAAAUUAGUUGCAAACUUGCAGUGUUCAUUAGUGAUUUCCCUCUCCUAUGAUUACUUAUUUCGUGCCUGUGCAGGUGCUCAAGAGCACAAACUUCAGUGGCUGGAUCGCUGUAUCUACUACCCCUAUAAAAGCACGAGAGGGCGGAGAACCAAAUCAUCCUAUCCGUUGAAACUUGCAAUCUGAUGGUACAAAUGGCUCCAAUCUAUCAAACGUGUUUUACACUUUAAUUACCCACCAAUGCCACUCCAUGUUUCCACUAACCCACCGAUCCCACGCUAAUCCAUCUGUACCCCUUCGUCGUCCUAGAAUACAUGAGCACGAUGCCACGAUCCACAUGCCAUCCCUCCCCUAUUGCUGCCGCCAACCGCUCGGAGGGUCACCGAUCACCGCUCCUCCACUCCGCCGCCCCGCCACCGCCCCAUGUCGUCGCCACACCCCUAUGAGCGCUCGCAUCUGCUUAAGCGUGGGUCGCGGUCUCGCCGCCAGCCGAUUCUCCGCUGGGCCGAGUCUUAAUCUACUUAAGAGUGGGUUGCGGGAGGUGUGUCUCCGUCCGAGUGACUGCACCGCCAAGGCAGCAGCGGUCGUCAAGGCCGCCACCCAGGAACCACGGCCCUCCUCCGCAGACCCGCCAGCAUGGGCUGCCGCCCAGGCUCCACGACGACGACGGCGAAGAACAAGGUACGCCAGGGAGGCGAGGCCCUGCUGGGGCACCCAGUCGCCACCACCAGGGCCGCGGGCCGCCGAGAGGCUUAGCCGAGCGGCCGCCGUCCAGGGAGCAAUCCAGACGCGCGCCGCCGGCAGGCAUGCCCGCUCGCCCGACGCUCUGCGGCUGGAUGAGAAUUUCGACGAUGAGGCAGGGUAUAGGGACUAUGACAACGAGGAGGCUGAGGGGGAGGGGGAGGUUCACUGGGGGGAACAUGGUCGGGCGACGCCAUACCCAAGCCACCCGCUGGCUUCGUCCUUGACGACCAUGGCCAGUGCAUCGCUCCCGCCUCCAAGCGCAUCAUCACCCUCGUCAGGUGCUCCACAUCUAGUUUUCUCCUAGCUAGCAGUUCAUACUUGAAAUGCAUUAUCCAAGUUCAUCUUGCAAAUUUGUGCAGAUUGAUGACGCGAACAAUAGUCCAUUGGAGUGCAUAAUCGGGAGGGUGUUCAGCAGUACGUAGGAUCAUGAGUGCUUUCUUCUCUGCCCGGUCGACUGUGAUUAACCACACUCUACAAAUUAGUUGCAAACUUGCAGUGUUCAUUAGUGAUUUCCCUCUCCUAUGAUUACUUAUUUCGUGCCUGUGCAGGUGCUCAAGAGCACAAACUUCAGUGGCUGGAUCGCUGUAUCUACUACCCCUAUAAAAGCACGAGAGGGCGGAGAACCAAAUCAUCCUAUCCGUUGAAACUUGCAAUCUGAUGGUACAAAUGGCUCCAAUCUAUCAAACGUGUUUUACACUUUAAUUACCCACCAAUGCCACUCCACGUUUCCACUAACCCACCGAUCCCACGCUAAUCCAUCUGUACCCCUUCGUCGUCCUAGAAUACAUGAGCACGAUGCCACGAUCCACAUGCCAUCCCUCCCCUAUUGCUGCCGCCAACCGCUCGGAGGGUCACCGAUCACCGCUCCUCCACUCCGCCGCCCCGCCACCGCCCCAUGCUGUCGCCACACCCCUAUGAGCGCUCGCAUCUACUUAAGCGUGGGUCGCGGUCUCGCCGCCAGCCGAUUCUCCGCUGGGCCGAGGCUUAAUCUGCUUAAGAGUGGGUUGCGGGAGGUGUGUCUCCGUCCGAGUGACUGCACCGCCGAGGCAGCAGCGGUCGUCCAGGCCGCCACCCAGGAACCACGGCCCUCCUCCGCAGACCCGCCAGCAUGGGCUGCCGCCCAGGCUCCACGACGACGACGGCAAAGAACAAGGUACGCCAGGGAGGCGAGGCCCUGCUGGGGCACCCAGUCGCCACCACCAGGGCCGCGGGCCGCCGAGAGGCUUAGCCGAGCGGCCGUCGUCCAGGGAGCAAUCCAGACGCGCGCCGCCAGCAGGCAUGGCCCGCUCGCCCGACGCUCUGCGGCUGGAUGAGAAUUUCGACGAUGAGGCAGGGUAUAGGUUCUAUGACAACGAGGAGGCUGAGGGGGAGGGGGAGGUUCACUGGGGGGAACAUGGUCGGGCGACGCCAUGCCCAAGCCACCCGCUGGCUUCGUCCUUGACGACCAUGGCCAGUGCAUCGCUCCCGCCUCCAAGCGCAUUGUCACCCUCGUCAGGUGCUCCACAUCUAGUUUUCUCCUAGCUAGCAGUUCAUACUUGAAAUGCAUUAUCCAAGUUCAUCUUGCAAAUUUGUGCAGAUUGAUGACGCGAACAAUAGUCCAUUGGAGUGCAUAAUCGGGAGGGUGUUCAGCAGUACGUAGGAUCAUGAGUGCUUUCUUCUCUGCCCGGUCGACUGUGAUUAACCACACUCUACAAAUUCGUUGCAAACUUGCAAUGUUCAUUAGUGAUUUCCCUCUCCUAUGAUUACUUAUUUCAUGCCUGUGCAGGUGCUCAAGAGCACAAACUUCAGUGGCUGGAUCGCUGUAUCUACUACCCCUAUAAAAGCACGAGAGGGCGGAGAACCAAAUCAUCCUAUCCGUUGAAACUUGCAAUCUGAUGGUCCAAAUGGCUCCAAUCUAUCAAACGUGUUUUACACUUUAAUUACCCACCAAUGCCACUCCACGUUUCCACUAACCCACCGAUCCCACGCUAAUCCAUCCGUACCCCUUCGUCGUCCUAGAAUACAUGAGCACGAUGCCACGAUCCACAUGCCAUCCCUCCCCUAUUGCUGCCGCCAACCGCUCGGAGGGUCACCGAUCACCGCUCCUCCACUCCGCCGCCCCGCCACCGCCCCAUGCCGUCGCCACACCCCUAUGAGCGCUCGCAUCUGCUUAAGCGUGGGUCGCGGUCUCGCCGCCAGCCGAUUCUCCGCUGGGCCGAGUCUUAAUCUGCUUAAGAGUGGGUUGCGGGAGGUGUGUCUCCGUCCGAGUGACUGCCCCGCCGAGGCAGCAGCGGUCGUCCAGGCCGCUACCCAGGAACCACGGCCCUCCUCCGUAGACCCGUCAGCAUGGGCUGCCGCCCAGGCUCCACGACGACGACGGCGAAGAACAAGGUACGCCAGGGAGGCGAGGCCCUGCUGGCGCACCCAGUCGCCACCACCAGGGUCACGGGCCGCCGAGAGGCUUAGCCGAGCGACCGCCGUCCAGGGAGCAAUCCAGACGCGCGCCGCCGGCAGGCAUGGCCCGCUCGCCCGACGCUCUGCGGCUGGAUGAGAAUUUCGACGAUGAGGCAGGGUAUAGGGACUAUGACAACGAGGAGGCUGAGGGGAAGGGGGAGGUUCACUGGGGGGAACAUGGUCGGGCGACGCCAUGCCCAAGCCACCCGCUGGCUUCGUCCUUGACGACCAUGGCCAGUGCAUCGCUCCCGCCUCCAAGCGCAUCGCCACCCUCGUCAGGUGCUCCACAUCCAGUUUUCUCCUAGCUAGCAGUUCAUACUUGAAAUGCAUUAUCCAAGUUCAUCUUGCAAAUUUGUGCAGAUUGAUGACGCGAACAAUAGUCCAUUGGAGUGCAUAAUCGGGAGGGUGUUCAGCAGUACGUAGGAUCAUGAGUGCUUUCUUCUCUGCCCAGUCGACUGUGAUUAACCACACUCUACAAAUUAGUUGCAAACUUGCAAUGUUCAUUAGUGAUUUCCCUCUCCUAUAAUUACUUAUUUCGUGCCUGUGCAGGUGCUCAAGAGCACAAACUUCAGUGGCUGGAUCGCUGUAUCUACUACCCCUAUAAAAGCACGAGAGGGCGGAGAACCAAAUCAUCCUAUCCGUUGAAACUUGCAAUCUGAUGGUCCAAAUGGCUCCAAUCUAUCAAACGUAUUUUACACUUUAAUUACCCACCAAUGCCACUCCACGUUUCCACUAACCCACCGAUCCCGCGCUAAUCCAUCCGUACCCCUUCGUCGUCCUAGAAUACAUGAGCACGAUGCCACGAUCCACAUGCCAUCCCUCCCCUAUUGCUGCCGCCAACCGCUCGGAGGGUCACCGAUCACCGCUCCUCCACUCCGCCGCCCCGCCACCGCCCCAUGCCGUCGCCACACCCCUAUGAGCGCUCGCAUCUGCUUAAGCGUGGGUCGCGGUCUCGCCGCCAGCCGAUUCAACGCUGGGCCGAGGCUUAAUCUGCUUAAGAGUGGGUUGCGGGAGGUGUGUCUCCGUCCGAGUGACUGCACCGCCGAGGCAGCAGCGGUCGUCCAGGCCGCCACCCAGGAACCACGGCCCUCCUCCGCAGACCCGCCAGCAUGGGCUGCCGCCCAGGCUCCACGACGACGACGGCGAAGAACAAGGUACGCCAGGGAGGCGAGGCCCUGCUGGCGCACCCAGUCGCCACCACCAGGGCCGCGGGCCGCCGAGAGGCUUAGCCGAGCGGCCGCCGUCCAGGGAGCAAUCCAGACGCGCGCCGCCGGCAGGCAUGGCCCGCUCGCCCGACGCUCUGCGGCUGGAUGAGAAUUUCGACGAUGAGGCAGGGUAUAAGGACUAUGACAACGAGGAGGCUGAGGGGGAGGGGGAGAUUCGCUGGGGGGGAGGACAUGGUCGGGCGACGCCAUGCCCAAGCCACCCGCUGGCUUCGUCCUUGAUGACCAUGGCCAGUGCAUCGCUCCCGCCUCCAAGCGCAUCGUCACCCUCGUCAGGUGCUCCACAUUCAAUUAUCUCCUAGCUAGCAGUUCAUACUUGAAAUGCAUUAUCCAAGUUCAUCUUGCAAAUUUGUGCAGAUUGAUGACGCGAACAAUAGUCCAUUGGAGUGCAUAAUCGGGAGGGUGUUCAGCAGUACGUAGGAUCAUGAGUGCUUUCUUCUCUGCCCGGUCGACUGUGAUUAACCACACUCUACAAAUUAGUUGCAAACUUGCAAUGUUCAUUAGUGAUUUCCCUCUCCUAUGAUUACUUAUUUCGUGCCUGUGCAGGUGCUCAAGAGCACAAACUUCAGUGGCUGGAUCGCUGUAUGUCACUAACUACAUACAUUACUCAUUUAUAGUUCAAACAUGGUUUCAAUUGAUGCUAGAAAUAUUUAUUUCGGACAAUGCAAUUGAUGUGUGUUUGUAGCUAGGUUGCCUCUCUUGGGUGAUAUGAUUUUUUUUGCGGUUUCUCAUAAACUGCAGUGUGUUAUGCAGAUGGAAAAAGCAUUCAGGUUCUGCAUCCUGCCCAGCAGGUUAUUUGUUAUGACACAAGAACUUUAUUAUGGUUUUUGAUAAAAGAAAUAUGGACUUCGAAAUAGCUUGAAGGUUAUCGAUUAUAUGUAGCAAGGCCAUUUGAUUAAGUUGGCUCUUUCUUGACACCAUUUUCUAUGCAACUAUUUGAAUACAUAUUUUCCAAAACAAAGUACAUAAGUGUGUUUGGGUGUGGCCCAGAUUAAACAUCUCACAUUUUGUUUCAGAAAUCAUCUCUACUUAAGUCCAAGAGGUCACCAGGUGAAGGGAUGGAUAAACUAUUAGGUUGCAUUAAUUUGGAGCUAUGAAACUGGUAAAAGGAUUAUAGUUGCUGCAACUCCUAGGGUCAAGGUUUGUUCCACAUUUCUAUAAUUUUAUUUAUAUUUGUACUAAUUUAUCACAUAUCAUGCAUCUUUUCUCCUUUAGACUAAUUAUUACAGUAGAAUAUAUUGGCCAAUAGACUGCCAUUCUCACCUUUGGUAUUGCAUCUUUUUUCUUGACAGCCUGUUACAUUGGAACUUGGUGAAGAUGUCGUAUUUGAGUAUGUUGACAUUGACAAAAGGUACAUGCUGAAUGCUGAGACAUAUAUACGUUGUGUGAGGCAGAGGUUAAAUGCUCUGUAAAUAAAGAGAGACAACAAGGAUUGGUGAGUUUAUGAUCCCACUUUCGUACUGUUUUUAUACAAAAACAACAAUGAGCGGCAUAUGUACUUCUCAUCCAAUUAGUUUUCUAGCACGUAAAUGUAACUAUUUCUUCAUGCACAUGAGAAAGACAAAUAUUAGUUCCUACAUGUUUGAGGAUAUGUAUAACCAUACUAUGGAAUGCAGUUGUGCCGAGGAGGAACGAGGAUGAGAGAUGUGUCUUGCUAGACAUAUUAGCAAAUUCUUAAUUCAUUUGAUUACAUUCAUGAGUAUUAUUCUAUUCCAACAUACGGGCUUUGUUCAGUGCAUAUACAGAUAUACUAUCUUAUAGAAAUAUGUUGUUCAAGGAUGAAGAGGUGGAUAAGUUUGUGGCUUUACUUACUGAAUGUCCAGAUCUGUCUUGCUUCUCAGUCAAGGCCUACAUUUAGAGUAUACAUAUUCAUAUGUAAGUGAUUUAAGGUCAAUUACCUCCCCCUGUUGUAAUGCUCAUCAUCUUAAUUCAGACAUUGUUAUAUAUAUGCACCAUGGUUCACGACUAUACUUUUUUCCGUAGGGCCUAUGCAAAUCCAUUUGGAACAGUGUUACUAUUUUACAUUUUGCUACAAAAAGUUGUGUGCUGCAGGUGUCUAUACACGGGAACCAAAGAAGGCAACUCGGCAGUUUCUCCCUGCCCUAAUCAAGAUUCACAAUGAUAGGAGGGCACAGAGAUCAUGCUGCCAUGGAAUCCAUCCAUUUUCAUUGCCUUGCUGCUUUCUAGCUUGUUUCUUGAUAUUCAAUAGCCAUAUACCUUUAGGACUUGGGAUGCGAUUUCACAUGCAUCGCGUAGCUGAUGCUUUUGCCGGUUCAUGAUGAGCUAUUUUUGUGUAAAGCUGCUAUUGGCCGUGGAAAGACUAGCUAUGCAUGGCUCAGUUUUAUUGAGCUUAGAUGAAAAUUUGAGUGAACCGACUAAAUUCAUACAAAAAAGGGGCCAAGUACAACCCCAAAUUAGAGACUAGAUGGGAUGCCCAUCCUGGUCACUAUACUAUUAGACUUACAAUCUCGAACGGCUACCUGUAUUUUUUAAUUUGUUUGUGGACCUGGAAUGGCCAUUAUUUGGGCAUAGGACAUGCCAGCAUGUUUUCUGAAAGUUGUAGGAGAGGCAUGCUAUUUAAAAUGGAUAGAUUGCAAAAAAAAUUGUACCUCCAUUGGUCAGGACCUGACCAUGGAAGAAUGAACAGUAAAUGUUGUCAAAUGAACUACAUUG
rnacentral:lncRNA from 1 species